GGGGGUAGGUCAGAGGGGUGGCCUGGGGAGCCACAGUGUGGACUUUUCGUAAAGACAGAAGAUUCCAGAAUCGCAACCAGCACCCAGGGCCGAAACCCGGCAGUUUGGUACAGACCGGGCUGAACCAGCCAUUCAAAUACCGAAAUCCUGCAUUUCCGCAAAGCUGAGCCCCCAUCCACUCCUUUUUCAGAGAUGGUAAGGUGUGAAUUGGCGAAACUCAGCUCUUGUGUAGUAAUUGGCAAAGAAACGGUGCCCCAGGCUCUCCAUGUGGCAUCCUGGUUUGGCCUGCUGUCUACCCUCCCCACUUGAUGGCACCUGUGGGCUACACCGGAGGCUCUCUGGGACCCUGUGGCUGCAGCUAGGUCUGUCCACUUGGGGUCAGGGAGCAGGAAAAGAAUGGAGCUGCAGCAUUUCCCUCCCUGGUUUCCUCCCUGUGCUGGCCGUGUGCCUCCUUCAAAAGUGAGCAGCCCUUGUAGGAUGGACGGAUGACACCGUGGAGGGCUCUGAAUUUCAAAUUGGAACAGUCAUGUGCCCGUCACCCCAGAAGUAACAAUUGGUCAUGCUGACACGUUCUUCAAAUUCUACAUACUUAAGAGCUAAAACAUUGCAGGUCACGCUCUCACGGUUAGUGGGUUGGAGCCCCGCAUCGCGCUCUGUGCGGACAGCUCAGAG